rnacentral:lncRNA from 1 species
GUCUCGCCCGGGCCGCUCGGGCGCCGCGCCUCCUGUUCCGGGCGCGCGGGGUCGGCCGGCCGCCUUCGCUGCUCCGCCGCGGCUCUCAGCGCCGCUCAGCGCGGCGGGCCCGCCCGGGCUCAGGUGCCCCCCGCUCUCCGGACCUUCUCGCCCGGCCCCGCGUCCCCUCCGCGGGCUUCCCCCGGCGGCCGGCCGGGCUCGGAGGCUCGCGGCCGGAGCGGAGCGGAGUGCGCACGCCGGGGUGGCAGGACUUCGGCAAGACCAACUUUCCGGUUCGGAAGCGGCGCGGGCCGCGCGGCUCCUCCCCUCCUCUCCCUCCCCUGCGUUCCCCCUCCCUUCCACUCCCCCCUCUCCCCGCCCCCCAACCCGCGGGCCCCACCGACUCCGGAGCGCCCGCCCCGCCCGCUGCUGCCACCGGGCCGCCUCGCCCCCGCGCCAGCCCGCCUGGGCCUCUGCGCCGCCGGCGGCUUCUUAAAUACAGGAAAGGGAGGGGACCGCAGGGCCCCGGUGUUCCCCACCCUAGUCCCCCUUCACCACGGGCCACCGGGCGCCAGCGGAGUGGGCAGCGAGCGCGACCGAAAGUUCCAACUCCACCAAACUCCCGCGCGCGGCCCACCCUUUCCCGGGAUUUCGGGGAUGACACGGGGGCCAGUGGUCCUGUCUGGUGUGAACCGUCAGCACAGAUGGCCUCCUGGAGCUUCCCCGAGUCGUUCGCUGGGGGAAGCGGGCGGUGAGCGGCCAGCCCGGGCGCUCCGCAGGCCGCGAGCUCCCGGCAGGGCUGGUGGCGGGGGUCCGCCUGGGGGAGGAAUCCCCGCCUGCUCCAUCGGACCCGGCCUGGCGCGGCUCGCGGCGCUCGGCGGGCUCCCUUCCAUUCUAGAAUCUUCCCGCUUGCUUCCCAGCCCGCGUUCUUCCGCCUGCCUUUAAUUGUAAUUUACAGGAUUAAGGAGUUUGGGGAAGUCGCAGAGCUGCAGCGGAAAGGCAGGGGUCUGAGACUACUUUUGAGAAGAGAAACAACGCAAAACGAUCGCUGGAGGGCCAGAGCCCUGGUCGAAGGUGCCCUAGCUUUUAUGACCUGGUUAAUUGUGUCUCCUUUUUAUUUUUAUUUUUUUCCUUACCACUACUACUACUACUACUUUUAUUUUUUUUUAACCGAUACACUUUGGAGAGAAGAAGCAGACACAGGUUCCCACGGCGUCUGACGCCUGCGGAGCAAGUCCAGAGCCAGCUGGACUCGCAGCCUCUGGCCCGGCGGCACCAACUCCUCACUGGGUCAUUUUGAGCGCGCUGUGCCCACCUUUUCUGUUGCGUGUGGACGUGGGGAGGAUCUUCUAAGUCCCUCCAACGAAGGCAAGUGUGAGACUCUGGCCCUUUAUUUGUAAGAAGCAAGCCUUCAGAUUGCAGAAGUGUCGCGCGGGUCGCCGUGCGUUGCGCGAGUGGGAAGAUGGAGGAGGCCGGCACGCUGCUUUCGUGGACGCAAGUGAACCGGGCGUGAAGGCAGGGUGCGAGCUCUGCCCUUGGCCCAGCCCUGCGUGGGCGCCGUCCCAGAUUCCGGGCGGUGCGGGGUGCAGAGAUCUGGAGAGACUUGCGGGCUCCCCAGCGCAGGCUGCUCUGGGAUUUCGUUGGAAGAUCCGGCAGAGCCUUGGAGGAGAGGGCCCGGGAGGCUGUGUGUGCAGCGGAAACUUGUACGAAUGCCCCCACAGCGGAAAUGGUGCGCACGAGUAAUUUCUGCGGUGCACCCUUUUAAAAAUUGACAAGUGAACAAGAUCAAUUUUUUAAGAAAGCAAAGGUAGAAAACAAAAGGCGUGCGACUUCUUGACUGGCUUGUUCCCGCCUUUCUUCCUUCUCUAUACUCAGAUCAGAAACUUUUCUUUAAUUGCUCUUAUUCAGUGCGACAACUUUUAAUAAAAGCAUUUGCAUUUUAA